GUGCCAGCAGCCGCGGUAAUACGUAGGGUGCAAGCGUUAAUCGGAAUUACUGGGCGUAAAGCGUGCGCAGGCGGUUUUGUAAGUCUGUCGUGAAAGCCCCGGGCUCAACCUGGGAAUUGCGAUGGAGACUGCAAGGCUUGAAUCUGGCAGAGGGGGGUAGAAUUCCACGUGUAGCAGUGAAAUGCGUAGAGAUGUGGAGGAACACCGAUGGCGAAGGCAGCCCCCUGGGUCAAGAUUGACGCUCAUGCACGAAAGCGUGGGGAGCAAACAGGAUUAGAUA
rnacentral:rRNA from 1 species